UACGUAGGGGGCAAGCGUUGCCCGGAAUUAUUGGGCGUAAAGCGCGUGUAGGCGGCUCGAUAAGUCCGCUCUGAAAGUCCGGGGCUCAACCCCGGGAGGCGGGUGGAUACUGUCGGGCUAGAGUCCGGAAGAGGCGAGUGGAAUUUCUGGUGUAGCGGUGAAAUGCGCAGAUAUCAGAAGGAACACCAAUGGCGAAGGCAGCUCGCUGGGACGGUACUGACGCUGAGGCACGAAAGCGUGGGGAGCAAACAGG
rnacentral:rRNA from 1 species